UACGUAGGGGGCAAGCGUUGUCCGGAUUUAUUGGGCGUAAAGAGCGUGUAGGCGGUUUGGUAGGUCCGUUGUGAAAACUCGAGGCUCAACCUCGAGACGCCGAUGGAAACCAUCAGACUAGAGUCCGGAAGAGGAGAGUGGAAUUCCUGGUGUAGCGAUGAAAUGCGCAGAUAUCAGGAAGAACACCCGUGGCUAAGGCGGCUCUCUAGUACGGUACUGACGCUGAGACGCGAAAGCGUGGGGAGCGAACAGG
rnacentral:rRNA from 1 species